rnacentral:rRNA from 1 species
CACGGGGGGCGCAAGCGUUAUUCGGAAUUAUUGGGCGUAAAGGGCGCGUAGGCGGUCUUAUCGGUCAGAUGUGAAAGCCCGGGGCUCAACCCUGGAAGUGCAUUUGAAACAGUAAGACUUGAGUACGGGAGAGGAAAGCGGAAUUCCUGGUGUAGAGGUGAAAUUCGUAGAUAUCAGGAGGAACACCGAUGGCGAAGGCAGCUUUCUGGACCGAUACUGACGCUGAGGCGCGAAGGCGUGGGUAGCGAACGGG